GGCGUGAGCAACAAACAGGCCUGCAACAAGUGUGAAUGCCAACCUACCACCUUCAUGUGCAGAGAAGGAAUGGAGAGGAGAGCACAGAAAGGAGUCUCUCAUAUGGCUCUGAUCCCAGGUUCACAUCUGUGCAGGACUUACUCUGCCAGAAACGAGUCAACAAAACCCAAGUGGCUGUAAUGUCAGGACACGCUGCUCUUCCUGUUGUGGUGCUUUAAAUACUUCUUUACAGUGCUGAAACACUCAUGUCUUAAUUUCCUUUGAAGAGGAUAUUCUUGUUCUUAGCAGAGGUAACCAGGUUAAACAAAGAACAAAUUUUGAUUAAGUUGCACGUCAGUGGUUUGGAAAAUCAUCAAACUGUCAGACUGCAGAAUGGUCCUAAGUCCUUGCUUGUGAAAAUCUGCUCGUCCAUUCACUUAAGCAUGUGCCUGUUCAUUCAAUA